rnacentral:rRNA from 1 species
UUGGUUAAGUUAGAAAGGGCGCACGGUGGAUGCCUUGGCACUAGGAGCCGAAGAAGGACGGGACUAACACCGAUAUGCUUUGGGGAGCUGUACGUAAGCGUUGAUCCAGAGAUUUCCGAAUGGGGGAACCCACUAUCUUUAGUCGGAUAGUAUCCUUACGUGAAUACAUAGCGUGAGGAAGGCAGACCCAGGGAACUGAAACAUCUAAGUACCUGGAGGAAGAGAAAGAAAAAUCGAUUUCCUGAGUAGCGGCGAGCGAAACGGAAAGAGCCCAAACCAAGAAGCUUGCUUCUUGGGGUUGUAGGACACUCUAUACGGAGUUACAAAAGAAAGUUAUAAAUGAAGCGGUCUGGAAAGGCCCGCCAAAGACGGUAACAGCCCGGUAGUUGAAAUGGCUUUCCCUCCAGAGUGGAUCCUGAGUACGGCGGAACACGUGAAAUUCCGUCGGAAUCCGGGAGGACCAUCUCCCAAGGCUAAAUACUCCCUAGUGACCGAUAGUGAACCAGUACCGUGAGGGAAAGGUGAAAAGCACCCCGGAAGGGGAGUGAAACAGUUCCUGAAACCGUGUGCCUACAAGUAGUUAGAGCCCGUUAAUGGGUGAUAGCGUGCCUUUUGUAGAAUGAACCGGCGAGUUACGAUUUGUUGCAAGGUUAAGCGGAAAAAGCGGAGCCGUAGCGAAAGCGAGUCUGAAUAGGGCGCAUAAGUAACAGGUCGUAGACCCGAAACCAGGUGAUCUACCCAUGUCCAGGAUGAAGGUAAGGUAAUACUUACUGGAGGUCCGAACCCACGCACGUUGAAAAGUGCGGGGAUGAGGUGUGGGUAGCGGAGAAAUUCCAAUCGAACUUGGAGAUAGCUGGUUCUCUCCGAAAUAGCUUUAGGGCUAGCCUCGAGGUAAAGAGUCAUGGAGGUAGAGCACUGUUUGGACUAGGGGCCCUUCUCGGGUUACCGAAUUCAGAUAAACUCCGAAUGCCAUGUACUUAUACUCGGGAGUCAGACUGCGAGUGAUAAGAUCCGUAGUCGAAAGGGAAACAGCCCAGACCACCAGUUAAGGUCCCCAAAUAUAUGUUAAGUGGAAAAGGAUGUGGGGUUGCUUAGACAACCAGGAUGUUGGCUUAGAAGCAGCCACCAUUGAAAGAGUGCGUAAUAGCUCACUGGUCGAGUGACCCCGCGCCGAAAAUGUACCGGGGCUAAACAUAUUACCGAAACUGUGGAUGAACCUCUUUAGAGGUUCGUGGUAGGAGAGCGUUCUAAGGGCGGUGAAGUCAGACCGGAAGGACUGGUGGAGCGCUUAGAAGUGAGAAUGCCGGUAUGAGUAGCGAAAGAAGGGUGAGAAUCCCUUCCACCGAAUAUCUAAGGUUUCCUGAGGAAGGCUCGUCCGCUCAGGGUUAGUCGGGACCUAAGCCGAGGCCGAUAGGCGUAGGCGAUGGACAACAGGUAGAGAUUCCUGUACCAGUGCUAAUUGUUUAACCGAUGGGGUGACACAGAAGGAUAGGGAAUCGCACGAAUGGAAAUGUGCGUCCAAGCAGUGAGUGUGAGAAGUAGGCAAAUCCGCUUCUCGCGAAGCAUGAGCUGUGAUGGGGAAGGAAAUUAAGUACGGAAGUUCCUGAUUUCACGCUGUCAAGAAAAGCCUCUAGGAAGAGUAGUACUGCCCGUACCGCAAACCGACACAGGUAGAUGAGGAGAGAAUCCUAAGGUGAGCGAGAGAACUCUCGUUAAGGAACUCGGCAAAAUGACCCCGUAACUUCGGGAGAAGGGGUGCUCUAUUAGGGUGCAAGCCCGAGAGAGCCGCAGUGAAUAGGCCCAGGCGACUGUUUAGCAAAAACACAGGUCUCUGCAAAACCGUAAGGUGACGUAUAGGGGCUGACGCCUGCCCGGUGCUGGAAGGUUAAGAGGAGUGCUUAGCUUCGGCGAAGGUACGAAUUGAAGCCCCAGUAAACGGCGGCCGUAACUAUAACGGUCCUAAGGUAGCGAAAUUCCUUGUCGGGUAAGUUCCGACCCGCACGAAAGGCGCAACGAUCUGGGCACUGUCUCAACGAGAGACUCGGUGAAAUUAUAGUACCUGUGAAGAUGCAGGUUACCCGCGACAGGACGGAAAGACCCCGUGGAGCUUUACUGCAACCUGAUAUGGAAUGUUUGUACCGCUUGUAC